CUUGGCCGUAGAAAGCAACAGCAAAGUGAGGCGUCACAGCGACACUUCGGGACGUUUUUAAAAGUUGCACCGCCGUCCCACAUCAACCACGGAAUCAUCCUCUGGUGAGUCUGACGAUACCAGCACUGAAAUCUGCCCUGGCGUCUCCUUCAACAUCAAAGGGAAGGGAAAUCAAACUCUCCACACCAGCCCAGCUUCGAAAGUGGACGAAACACUCCGAUCAAACCAUGGGAAUGAAUCAAGUCACCCCUUUUAAUGUUUAAUGAGAUGCUACAGAGAGCUUCAGCCCCCAGUGCUGAAAAAACAGCAGAAGCAUCCUUCAUUAAGGCACCGGCUCCAGUUACACCCCUCUCCUCAACUCAAGGGCAGCGCUGACCCACACUGCUGCUGCUGCUGCUGCUGUGGAGAUACCAGCCACCGCUGCUUGUUCUGGCUCACUUGUUGCUGAAGUCCAGAAACUGGUUCUGUUUGCAGUCUACAAUCAUCAGCAGCAGUCUAGGAUUUGUUCGUGGUACAGAUUUCUCUGAAACGGUUGAAUGGAUCGUCUUGAAACUGCAGUAUGCUGUUACACUACAGAUUUUUCAAGUCGAUACAGUCAAGAUUUGUGAAUACAGCCCCUGGAGACUUCUUGCUUCCUUCGGGAAUGCAGAACAGACUCACUAUGCAGAGCGCUCCCUCCUCUCUGAGACAGAGCUCUCGUAU